rnacentral:rRNA from 1 species
AUUGAACGCUGGCGGUAGGCCUAACACAUGCAAGUCGAGCGGAGCGGCGGCCGCGUGCGUAAUGCCUAGGAAUCGGCCUGGUAGUGGGGGAUAAAGUCCGGUACCGGGCGCUAUUACCGCAUACUAUUACAUGCGCCUAGGUCGGAUUAGCUAUAUGGGGGGGUAAAGGCCCACACAGGCGACGAUCCGUAACUGGUCUGCGUGGAUGAUCAGUCAAACUGGAACUGAGACACGGGCCAGACUCCUACGGGAGGCAGCAGUGGGGAAUAUUGGACAAUGGGCGAAAGCCUGAGCCAGCCAUGCCGCGUGUGGGAAGAAGGUCUUCGGAUUGUAAAGCACUUUAAGUGGGGAGGCGUUACCAACAGAAUAAGCACCGGCUAACUGCGUGCCAGCAGCCGCGGUAAUAC